rnacentral:rRNA from 1 species
GACGAACGCUGGCGGCGUGCUUAACACAUGCAAGUCGAACGGUAAGGCCCUUCGGGGUACACGAGUGGCGAACGGGUGAGUAACACGUGGGUGAUCUGCCCUGCACUUCGGGAUAAGCCUGGGAAACUGGGUCUAAUACCGGAUAGGACCACUGCCUGCAUGGGUGGUGGUGGAAAGCUUUUGCGGUGUGGGAUGGGCCCGCGGCCUAUCAGCUUGUUGGUGGGGUGAUGGCCUACCAAGGCGACGACGGGUAUCCGGCAUGAGAGGGUGACCGGCCACACUGGGACUGAGAUACGGCCCAGACGCCUACGGGAGGCAGCAGUGGGGAAUAUUGCACAAUGGGCGCAAGCCUGAUGCAGCGACGCCGCGUGAGGGAUGACGGCCUUCGGGUUGUAAACCUCUUUCAGCACCGACGAAGCGCAAGUGACGGUAGGUGCAGAAGAAGGACCGGCCAACUACGUGCCAGCCGCCGCCGUAA